GGAGUCAUAGCUCAGUGGGAGAGCACUAGUUUGACGUACUAGGGGUCGUGGGUUCAAGCCCCUCUGACUUCACCA
rnacentral:tRNA from 1 species